rnacentral:tRNA from 1 species
GAGGUUGUGGCUCAGUGGUAGAGCACUUGCAUAACGUGCAAGGUAUUGGGUUCGAUUCUCAGCACCACA